UACGUAGGGGGCAAGCGUUGUCCGGAAUCAUUGGGCGUAAAGAGCGUGUAGGCGGCCCGAUAAGUCCGCUGUGAAAGUCCAGGGCUCAACCCUGGAAUGCCGGUGGAUACUGUCGGGCUAGAGUCCGGAAGAGGCGAGUGGAAUUCCUGGUGUAGCGGUGGAAUGCGCAGAUAUCAGGAGGAACACCGAUGGCGAAGGCAGCUCGCUGGGACGGUACUGACGCUGAGGCGCGAAAGCGUGGGGAGCGAACAGG
rnacentral:rRNA from 1 species